ACCUCAAAGAUGGUCAAAUUAGCUGACUUUACCACAGGCCAUCAAGUGUUUCAUCACCUUUAUUCUGCAAUAAAAGAAAGUCAGAAAAGCCAACCAGCACUGUGAAGGAGAAACAAAACUCCACAGGCCUGGAAUCGGAAAGACUCGUGGCACCAUUGCUGCAGCCUGCAGUAACUAAACUACUUCAUGCAAAGGAGAAAUUAAACUGGAGAGGAAUGCUGAAUGUUCAGUUCCCUGAGUGCAGGUUCUUCCUCCACAGAAGGAGGGUAGGACUGACAUCACAGAUCUCUGAGGGUACAAAAUACACCUUCUAGAUAAUGGCAAAUACAAUAUCUCCUUAAAUUGCCAAAACACAGAUAAUAAUAAUGCCACAAAUGUACAAUGUUAAUGAUCAUAAUGAUUUGCUCUGGGUCCUUAAUUAUUUGAAAAGUACAUGUUCUGUGUUUAUGUAGAACUAUUAAAAAUAGAUUUUGAGUACACAAAGUGUUUAAAUAAAAGAUGUUAGUAAUGCAAGUGGUCAUAAAAGAAAAUUCAAUUCUCAAACUAAUUUCAAAAUAUUGCUUCACCAUUCCUUAUUUUUUAUUUUUUCAGUAUUAGAGGUAGCGUUAUGUCCCUGGGGGCUGGGAAUUGUAGUCUUUCAGUAUUAGAGGUAGCGUUAUGUCCCUGGGGGCUGGGAAUUGUAGUCUUUCAGUAUUAGAGGUAGCAUUAUGUCCCUGGGGGCUGGGAAUUGUAGUCUUUCAGUAUUAGAGGUAGCGUUAUGUCCCUGGGGGCUGGGAGUUUUUCAGCUGCCUUUUUAAUUAUGUUGAAAUCCUGAGAAUGCUCUGUCUCUAGAAUUUGCAGAGAAUGGUGCAAAAAACAUCCAGUGAGCAGCAGUUCUGUUAAUGACAGAUGAGAAGGGCCAGACAGGUCAAAGCUGACAGGAAGGUGUCAGUCACGCAAAUAACCAUGCAUUACAACAAUGAUAUGCAGAAGAGCAUCUCUGAACACACAACACCUCAAAACUCUUAAGUGGAAAGGCUACAGCAGCAGAAGACCAAUAAGUAUUUUAAAAAAAGAGGAGGAGGAGGGAGAUAAGUUGCUGUCGAACUGAAAGAACACAAAUCCGAUCUGCUACCAGGGGCAGAUCAAUGAUCCUUUUUCCCAAUGACCCCUGAAUUUUGAGGGCAGGGAAAAGGACAUCGAAAAGCAUAGACCCGGGGUGACUACACAACCAAUCCCUUCUGUCCUGUUCAAAAAGGAAACAAAUAUCCUUCAUCGUGACAAAAUGGGGUACAAAAGGGACCCAGACACCUUUGUGGUGACCUGCAGCUGAUCCAGCAGAACAGCUGGUGAUAGAUUCAGGGCCGAAUACACAAGGAAGAACAAGAACUGAAAUGGACUACAAUGUCACUUUGGGAGAGCUGUUAUGAAUUCAGUUCAUGAAGUAUGUGUCAUAAGCAGGUGAGCAUAUAUAUUCUCAACAGAUAGUUCUGAAAGUUCUGAUCAAAGGCAUCAUAUCAGAAAUAGAUAAUGAGCCAAGAAGUUUAUUAAAACUCUAGCUGAUUUGAAAAAAUACAUAAAAUAUCUAAGCUUUUGGGUAUUUCCAAAUGGUGAUGCAACAAUCACUGUGAACCCCUAUUCAUGUAACAUGGGAAACAUGAGAUAUAUAAAAGAUGUGUAUGUAUUUGAAACUAUUGAGUGAAGAUAAUCAACGUUGAGGUUGGUAGGACAAAUAUAUAUUCUGUGACUACUUCACGGUAAAUAUCACCAAAGUGAAAUGUUUCUCUACUUGGUUCUGUGGGUCAAGACCCUCACGUAAAAUAAAUGUUUUUUUUCUUCCCCCA